GAUGAAGAACGCAGCGAAAUGCGAUAAGUAAUGUGAAUUGCAGAAUUCAGUGAAUCAUCGAAUCUUUGAACGCACAUUGCGCCCGCCAGUAUUCUGGCGGGCAUGCCUGUUCGAGCGUCAUUUCAACCAUCAAGCCCCCGGCUUGUGUUGGGGACCUGCGGCUGCCGCAGGCCCUGAAAACCAGUGGCGGGCUCGCUGUCACACCGAGCGUAGUAGAUUUUCAUCUCGCUCAGGGCGUGCUGCGGGUUCCGGCCGUAAAAAGCCUUAUUUACCCAAGGUUGACCUCGGAUCAGGUAGGAAGACCCGCUGAACUUAAGCAUACCAAUAAGCGGAGGA
rnacentral:misc_RNA from 1 species